AUUGAACGCUGGCGGCAGGCCUAACACAUGCAAGUCGAGCGGAUGAAGGGAGCUUGCUCCUGGAUUCAGCGGCGGACGGGUGAGUAAUGCCUAGAAAUCUGCCUGGUAGUGGGGGAUAACGUCCGGAAACGGGCGCUAAUACCGCAUACGUCCUGAGGGAGAAAGUGGGGGAUCUUCGGACCUCACGCUAUCAGAUGAGCCUAGGUCGGAUUAGCAAGUUGGUGGGGUAAAGGCCUACCAAGGCGACGAUCCGUAACUGGUCUGAGAGGAUGAUCAGUCACACUGGAACUGAGACACGGUCCAGACUCCUACGGGAGGCAGCAGUGGGGAAUAUUGGAAAAUGGGCGAAAGCCUGAUCCAGCCAUGCCGCGUGUGUGAAGAAGGUCUUCGGAUUGUAAAGCACUUUAAGUUGGGAGGAAGGGCAGUAAGUUAAUACCUUGCUGUUUUGACGUUACCAACAGAAUAAGCACCGGCUAACUCCGUG
rnacentral:rRNA from 1 species